rnacentral:tRNA from 1 species
GCGGGCGUGGCGGAACUGGCAGACGCGCUGGACUUAGGAUCCAGUGGGGUAACCCUUGGGGGUUCGAGUCCCCCCGCCCGCA